GUUGACCACUUUACCAUGAGACCGGCUAAUAAACAGUUCAUGAAAUUUAUGAAUUUACUCAAACAUUACUUCAGUGGCGGUCGUCCCUACUCGGAAAUUUUAUAAUUCAUAUUCAAUUGUUCCAGAUAUCUGCUAACUUUCAGGCUACCUGGACAGUUCUUUAAACUUCGAUGCUGCAUUUUGACAACGGUAAUGACUAAUAACGGUAAAUCAAAAUGUAUCGCUACAUACACAAUUUUUGGCAAGAUAUGUGGCCAUUUUGUUGAGGAAAAGAGACUAACAUCGACCUCAUACAAUUCAUACCUUUUUUGAGUGCUUAGUUUUUCAUGCAUUUUAAAUAUAUAGAGUUCUGAACGUCUAUUAUCCGGGGGCGGAUUAACCGGCGGGUGGCUUAACCGUGCGCACAAAUGUGAUCUCAAAGAACCUGUCGCUACAGACAAAGCUGUGACUAAAUAGCACUUAUUUACCGGUACUCACAUAUGCCUUUCAUACAAGGAAACUGUCCAAAUCUGACGAAACUCUCUAGGCCGCGUUUGAGAUGCUCAACAGGAUUGUUUGCUCCGUAUGUGAUGAAGGUGUCCGCCAUGAAGGCUGGGAUAACGAAUUGGCUGACGAAGGUACGAGAUCGUCAGGGGUUUCGGAUACUCGUGAAACUACUUGAUAAUUAGAUCUAUUCUUCAAAUCUUUGUUGACGAUUUUCGUUUGGCAAAAAUACCACACGUAUCACUCCUUCCUUGCUAGGUGUGCAAGAAAGCUGAAACACGUAAAGGUUAAAGAAACAACAUCAACAGCGUUAAUAACAUCUAACGUAACGCUCUAUACUAAGAAUGACUAAGAAAUGAGCACCUUCAAGUAAAAUUUAUAAAACGAGUUUCUCUUUUUAAUCCAAGACUGCAUGAUCAUUUUCCAAUUCAUUCAGAAGCAAUUUAGUUGGUUGAAAAUGUUGACAUUACAGGGUUCAUAAUGGAAUCAUACAAUGGACUACUUGAUCCGCUCGAGGGAAUGUUUGAAAUAGUUAGGGGAUUUUUGCAAUGUUGCUAUGGAGGUUUGUAGGCAUAUAGCGGAAUCUUAUAAACGCAUAGGAGAUGUUUUCAAAACAGUUAUGACGUUUUGCAACCAGCUAUGGAGCGAUCGGUUGUAGCGCUGUAGAAAUUAAAUUGAGACCUUUUUUGUUCAGAACCUCGUUAUGAUUUGUGAGUUUGGGGUGAUUAUACACACGUUUUUAGUAUCAUCGUGCAAAAUAAUGAAUCAUUUGUAAUUUUCAUUUGCUGCUAAAACAUUCUUCUAUAUUACAUUCUAUACUCUACUAUGACGCAUCCUCCGGAACAUCUUUAUGUUCGAGCAUGGAGUUUGGAGGAGAAGGAUGAACCACGAGCUUGCUGAUCUGUACGGCAAAUCGAGUAUCCUGACGGUGGUAUUAGGCGCAUGGGAGUACUGCGAACGCGAUGGCUGGAUCAGGUGAAGCGAGACCUGUCGGAGAUCGUGUGUCUACAUGGAUGAGAGGCUGCAGCCAGGGUCCGAGCAUCCUGGAGAAUGAUGAUUGACCGAGCCAUGUCACUUCGACGUGCUCUAUCGUGAGCAGGCCAACAAUAGAGAGUUCAUUAAGUUCAUAUGCAAGAAGAUAGGUAAUGAAGCAGGAGAGCGCAUUUGAGUGGCAAGGUUUGAUUUCUGUUUAGCCCGACAGAUUUAUAAUUUCUUGGAUAUUUUCGCUAAUCUCUGCAUAGCAUAGAAGAAGUCCGUACCACAUAUUACUAGUUCAUAACGGAAUGGUCUUAGAUUCAUAGCGGUGCCAUUAUACAUAAAUGGUGGUAAAUGUCGAAGAAUAUGUGUAUAGUAAGGACCAGUGGUAUAUUUAUUUUGCUUAGUGUGUAGGUUGUAUAUUUGUUGAUGGAAAAGUAUUCGUAUACCCAAUCCCGUUAUCUUUCACGAAAGUUCGCGUGCUAAACAAAGAUUGUUCAUACUUUAGUGAAAUGUGUAUUCAAAGCGCAGUUGUUUAUUCAGAAAAUAAAAAGCACUUGCAUGAGGAACUUCAGGCGGUAAAAUGUACUUACUUCAAAUGUACUUACCCAUGUAAUGGAGACUAACGCUUGUAGUCUGAAAGAAUACUGUCAAUUUGAGGCAAUAAAAGCAUGGAUCUGUAAUGCUAUUUAGUGGAAA